UGCAGUAAAUGGGGAUCAGCUCCUUUGUUCUCCCUCCCUUCCCCGGGGCUGCUUCCCGGGGACUGUGAAAGCUUGAGUCACCUGCGGUCCGAGCCUUCCUGAAAUCGAGGCCAGGCAAUGGAGGCUUUGCAAAGAUUUAUGGAAGGACCCCCAGACUCAAAGAACUAACCCCAGGGGAGCUCCUCCCCAGGCUGUGGUGUAGCCCAAGAGGGAGCUGCUGAGCAGCCACAGCCCCACAGGAAUAAGGGCUGGGGAAGCACAGGCGCAUCCCCCAGCACCCUUCCUCCCCUGGUACAGCAAUCAGUGCGUAGCCAUUUGGAGCGUAUUCCAGGGACUGUACCAGGAUAGGUUUGCAGGAAACGAAUGGGUAACACAAGCACUGAGUUAGCACAUCACUGAACUGGGCACACGGGUAAGCCAUAUGGGAUUUCAGAAAAUUAUUAUAUUAGGAACAGUGAGGAAAUGCUGCUCUUGUAGUUUCUUUUGUGGCCACAAUUGUGCAGGUGUUUGCAGAACUGCAGUGCUUAAAUUUUGAUGAAGAGGAAUCUGGGGGCAGAUGCAGAGCUCAGGCAGACACAGAUGUCCCAUCAGCUUGAAGGAGGCCAAAACAAAUGAAAGGAUCAAUUCCUUUUUGAACCCACAAGACAGUGCUUGCUGCAGCUACAGCCACGCCAGCCAUGAGCACCAUGGCUGCUCGAUGCCGGCACGGAACCAGCAGCACCCGCCUCUGCCCAGGCAGCGCAGGAGCCCAGCAGCCGCGGCUGGUUCAACCCUCCUGGGCAGCGGCGUGGCAGAGAGCUCCUGCAUGUCCACCCGGGACGUGGCUUGCAAAACCAACUGCAGUAUUAACAUCUGCUGAGUGCUCAAGAAUCUUGGCUGGAAAAGCAGGUAACAGCUCCUUCCUCCCUGUAGGGUAGGAAGGAGCUUGCUUUUACCAACAAAAUCUAAUGUGCUUUUAAAUAAUGCGGUAAGGCAGAAAUCUUUUUUACGAGAUAUCACUGGAGUGGAGUAGUGAAAUAACAUUAACAUAGCCAUCUCAAGAGAAAACGAUUUUUUCAAGGGGAAUUUAGGUCACAGAUAAAUACUUUACCCAUGCUUCUGUAGACACUCAUAACUGAAGAAGAGGAUUUUAUGUUCAGGUUAGAGGCAGUGUCUAGGUAUUUCACUGUUUGGAAGAAAUAUAUUGUCCUCUUAGCAUGACAGCCAUCAGCUUUACCUGCAUCCCUUACACAUUACACAAAUAUUAUACAAUGUAAAAGGCCUACAGCAGCAACUGCAAGGCCAAGGUUGUUUGUUGGGGGGGUGGGUCUCAGAAAUGCUCUAAUUCCACUAUAGAUUGUUUCUGAUAAGGUUUCUGUUUCUUCAGGGUACAUUACCUCAGACUGCAGACAAUUAGUGUCCAUCAUUCUACACUUUCACAAUCUUAUUCCAUGAUACAUUAUGCAGAUUCACAUCACUAAAAAUAAGCAAUAAAUAUAUAAAUAUGUAGUCUGUCCACCUACGUAGUGCAAGACUUAGCAGUAAAAUUUAUUUAAAAGUCUUACGCUUUUUCCAAGGUCUUUCUUGUCCCUAAUUCAUGUUAGUAAUAAAUGUCUUUAUUAAAAAAAUACAAUAUCUUACUUGAAGACAUUGCCACAAGCUGUGUAGACCAAGCCCUGCUUAGCCAGAUACUCUGUAGAAACUGCCAGCUAUUGCUGCUCUCACGUUGAGAGGAGCACAACCUCUCUCUCCCAUUGCACCCCUCCAUUCUUGAAUUCCUUCUCAAUUAUCAUGACAACUUAAAAAAUUACAAAAGCCACUUACUGGCUUCAUAUCUGCUUUUCAAACCCAUCCCUCAGAGCUAAUUAGCAAACAGGGACCAACAGAUUAGAAGUCACCUUUACCAUAGGCUCCUUCUGCACACAUGAUCUAGAAAACAAGUCUGUUCGUCUACUGAAAUGGACCUGAACAGCAUGUAGGCCAAGACCCAAAACGAAAGUGAGGAAAAGGUGAAACUAAGGUACUAUUUUUUUUAAUGGUCUUCCAUUGGUUGGAUGAGGCUUUGAGCAACCUGGUCUAGUGGAAGGUGUCCCUGACCACAGCAGGGAGGUUGGGUGAUGAUCUUUAGAUGAUCUUUAAGACCACUUCCAACCCAAACCAUUCUGUGAUUCUAUGAUUCUGAUUCCUUGGAGAGAAAUUACUUCCAUGGACCUUGGAUGAGGCUCUCGGAGCACAAUAAAGAGUUCAGCUUUCCAUAAACUGUUGUCAUUAAAACCAACAAUGGGUUGGGCUGCUCUGGGAAGCCCUUUCUGAAUAUCAGUAUGAGAGAUCUUUCACCUGAAAUGUCAAUGGGAUCACAGUAAAAAGUCUAUAAAUCUUUAUUGUUUUAACAUAUGGGUGUCAGCGUCAUUGCCUGUGUUCCACAGUAGCUAAAUAGCUUUGAUUCAGUUCUGAUCUACUGUUUGUGAAAAGUCCCCCUUUAUUUCAUACCUUGCUGGAUACAGAGAUCUGGUAAGCAGGUCUGCCAGCACGGCCAGAUCCUCUCCCAGAGCCACAGAGCCAGGACCAUUCCCAUGCAAGGAGAAAGGGAUUGCCUGGCACUGCCCUUCUAGCUGAUUGAAAGGCUGCAGCCUGUCUGCAAAGUGACAGAGGAUUUGAAAUCCACGUGAAACUACCAGCCCCAUGAAGUCACAACUGCAAUCUCAGUUUUCCAUUGUCCAUGCAUAUCCCACAUCAAGGUCCUUAAAGCAAACUGGGAGUGCUUCCCUACCUUAUUCACUUAGUAGCCAAAUCAUAUUUUGGAGCAGCUAAAAUAGAAAAAUUUUCCUUUGCACAAGCUUGGACAAAACCAUCAGGAACAGAUAGCUAUCUUAAUAAGAUUUAAUCCAAAAUCAUCUACAGUCUGAUGCUGCACAGUACAGAAUAGGGUAGAGAUAACAAUGAAAGUAUUUCUACAAAAGAGAAAAGGAAGCAAAAAAGCAAAAAUCCUUUUUUUUUUUUUUUUUUUAACAAAACAAGAGGAGUACAAAGCACUGGGAGGGGAAAUUAUGUUUUUCUUCUGGCAAGUAUUUGCAGCAGUCUCAAGCUGUGUCUCACUGUACCAAACCACUGAGACAAUUUGGUCAUUUUUCACACUACUAUAUGAAGGAAAAAAAUAAUCCCUGAAAGUCCUUCAAUGAUUUUAAAAGCUUUUAAAUUAAGCCCUUGGAAAAAAGAAAGAAGAAAAAGAGGCCCGUUGUCUAAUGUCAUUAAACAAAUGAAUCCAGAGUAUCUGAUUCUUCUCUUAUUCUUUGCCUAGCUGUUCUUGUAAAGCAUAUUUUAUCUUAACUUGCAUAUUGAUGGCAGACUUCUGCCAGUCUAAACUGUAUCUUUCAUCCAGUGACAAUUCAGCACAUAAACACUGCUGCUGCUGCAAGUGCUGGCACAAAAUUCUCGGGCACUGUCUAGCUGGGGAAGCUGAAAACUGUUGCUACGCAUCCUGCAACUGGGAAUGUACUUUUGGGAAGGACUGACCAGAACUGGGCAAAGGGAUGCUGUGCUUUCCAGUUGCCUCCUCCAAAAAUGUGGACUUGAUGCAUGUGUUUAAGUUCUCCAUUGAACUGGGGAUAAAAACUCAAAGCUGUUGAAUCUUCCCAGUCACUUUGUUAAGAGUCUUUUGCUAUUUUGUUUCCCUUUCUUUUGCUGCAAAGUUCCUCAGAGUGUAUAUACAGAAAGGGGAAUUAGUAUUGUAAUGUCUGAUAUUCAUAUUUUGAAAUCCUGUUGGCUAUCCCAUUCAGAAAAGAGUCUACUAACUGCUGUGUGUAUUACUAUCUCCUCCCAGAAAAUCUGUUUAUGCUUCCAGCCUGCUGGCAAACGUGAAACCCUCACUGGUAGAAAUGCAGUUUCAUAGAAGACUGCAUUUUUCACAGGCAGUCAGAUAAGAAGAUGUGGUUGUGGUCUUUGCUACCUAGUGACCUAACUUUCCUCCUUCAUAAGAAAGAAAGUGGGAGGGGUGCAUCUCAGAACGUACCGUUUUCAGUAAGUAACAGAGUAUGGUCUGAAUGGCUCACUUGAUUUAUAAUUAAAAUAACUGGUAUGUGUUGAGUUCCUUGAACAGCCACACCAAAAAUGAACGUGAUGUGUACUACUGAUUGUGUUUGAUUUCCUUCCGAAUCCUUUCAUUAAGAUGUUCUAUUCCCGUAAAACAAAAACAUUUCUAUUCCUACAUGUACGUCAAUGGCAAAGGAUCAGUUUUCAAAACCUGCCCUAUUUCCUCAAUGACUCAGAUUCUCAGCAUUGCACUGUUUGUACAAUGAAAGUCACUAAUCCCUGGAGUAAAGAGACCCACUACAUGUAGGCCCUACCAAAUUUAUAUCAUUAAAGGUCAUGUAAAAAGACGCGCUUCCUUAUAUACUUCUUUAUAUCGUCCCAUGUGAGCCCUAUGUCUCUUUUAAAAUGACAGUUCAUGACACGACAGUGCGAACAAGACAGCAAUGAAGAAAGACAUAUUUGGACUUGGAUUUCAAGACAGAAUACUACUGAUAUUCAGAUAGUAAUAAGCACGCACUUGUCAGUACUCAGUUUACAGAGGGAGAAAGAUAAAUAUCUUAAUGAUGUGUUUUUGAUGUACAUCUUCACUUCAUGAUGUAAAAAAACUACUCACUCUCUGUACUGCAUGUUCUUUUAUGUUUCUGUUUUACCUCAUCUGUCUGUAUCACAGUAAUGUACCCUCUUCAAUACCAGCUACAAAACUAGAUCAACUGAUUUUCCUGAUCAAGAAAUAUUUAUUAAACACAUUUAAACAUUAAA